rnacentral:rRNA from 1 species
UACGUAGGGUGCGAGCGUUGUCCGGAAUUACUGGGCGUAAAGAGCUCGUAGGUGGUUUGUCGCGUUGUUCGUGAAAACUCACAGCUUAACUGUGGGCGUGCGGGCGAUACGGGCAGACUGGAGUACUGCAGGGGAGACUGGAAUUCCUGGUGUAGCGGUGGAAUGCGUAGAUAUCGGGAGGAACACCAGUGGCGAAGGCGACUACCUGGCCUGUUCUUGACGCUGAGGCGCGAAAGCUAGGGGAGCAAACGGG